UAGGAAGUGGUGUAGUGGAAGCACAAAGAGUUUUGAUCUCUUAGGUUAGGGUUCGAGACCCUAUUUUCUAA
rnacentral:tRNA from 1 species